rnacentral:rRNA from 1 species
CCUACGGGUGGCAGCAGUGGGGAAUAUUGGGCAAUGGGCGCAAGCCUGACCCAGCAACGCCGCGUGAAUGAAGAAGGCUUUCGGGUUGUAAACUUCUUUUGUCAGGGACGAAGAAAGUGACGGUACCUGACGAAUAAGCCACGGCUAACUACGUGCCAGCAGCCGCGGUAAUACGUAGGUGGCAAGCGUUAUCCGGAUUUACUGGGUGUAAAGGGCGUGUAGGCGGGGAAGCAAGUCAGAUGUGAAAUCUGGAGGCUCAACCUCCAAAUUGCUUUUGAAACUGUUUUUCUUGAGUGCUGGAGAGGUAGACGGAAUUCCUUGUGUAGCGGUGAAAUGCGUAGAUAUAAGGAGGAACACCAGUGGCGAAGGCGGUCUGCUGGACAGCAACUGACGGUGAGGCGCGAAAGCGUGGGGAGCAAACAGGAUUAGAUACCCUUGUAGUC